rnacentral:rRNA from 1 species
CGCGAGCGGCAGGCCUAAUACAUGCAAGUCUGACGGGAUUGGGGAGCUUGCUCCCCAUGAGAGUGGCGCACGGGUGCGUAACACGUAUGUAACCUACCUUUAUCAGGGGGAUAGCCUCUCGAAAGAGAGAUUAAGCCCGCAUAAAAUCACAGACUGGCAUCAGAUAAUGAUCAAAUAUUUAUAGGACAAAGAUGGGCAUGCGGAACAUUAGCUAGUUGGUAAGGUAAUGGCUUACCAAGGCUACGAUGUUUAGGGGAUCUGAGAGGAUGGCCCCCCACACUGGUACUGAGACACGGACCAGACUCCUACGGGAGGCAGCAGUAAGGAAUAUUGGUCAAUGGACGGAAGUCUGAACCAGCCAUGCCGCGUGCAGGAAGACGGCCCUACGGGUUGUAAACUGCUUUUGCAGGGGAAUAAACCCCGGUACGUGUGCCGGGCUGAAUGUACUCUGAGAAUAAGGAUCGGCUAACUCCGUGCCAGCAGCCGCGGUAAUACGGAGGAUCCAAGCGUUAUCCGGAUUUAUUGGGUUUAAAGGGUGCGUAGGUGGCCUGUUAAGUCAGGGGUGAAAGACGGUAGCUUAACUAUCGCAGUGCCCUUGAUACUGAUGGGCUUGAAUGAACUAGAGGUAGGCGGAAUGUGACAAGUAGCGGUGAAAUGCAUAGAUAUGUCACAGAACACCAAUUGCGAAGGCAGCUUACUAUGGUUUUAUUGACACUGAGGCACGAAAGCGUGGGGAUCAAACAGGAUUAGAUACCCUGGUAGUCCACGCCCUAAACGAUGAAUACUCGAUGUUGGCGAUAUACAGUCAGCGUCUAAGCGAAAGCGUUAAGUAUUCACCUGGGAGAUCACUAGU